AAAAAACUGAUUGCAUAAGAAUAUUAUUAUUAUUAUUAUUAUUAUUAUUAUUAUUAUUAUUUUAAGUGUAAUUACUUGUUAUAUGAGUUGAGCAUGAAAUGAUUUGCAUUAAGCAUUUUUGCAAAUGAAAGUAUUUAUAAUUUAAAUUAUUUUUCAUUAAAUCCAAUUAUCAAAGAAAGUCGAGCAAGGAUAUUGUCGGUAACUUUAGCUCAAAAAUUUAUUUUUCAAUUAUUUAGCUCAAACAUUUAGCGGCAAAGAUAUAUGUAGGAUGCUCUGUGGAUGAAUAUCUUUCUUCAAUCAAAGAGGGUAAAACAUACUCCACAUACUAUAGAGGAUUAAACACACAAGCGUACACAGAAAUUCGCUUCAUGACGAUGCUCAAAUCUAUAAAAUUCUAUCAAUGGGGAAAUUUCAAUAUUGUAGCAAAUGCAAUCCAAAAAACCCAACCAAGCAUCGAUGUUGGAGAUAUUGAAGAAAAGCCGACUUCAUGACAAUGCUCAAGUCUAUAAAAUUCGAUCAACGGGGAAAUCUCAAUAUUGUGGCAAAUGCAAUCCAAAAAACCCAACCAAGCAUCGAUGUUGGCGAUAUUGAAGAAGAGUCGACUCAAGUGGAAGAAAAGAAUCAUUCACCCGAGAAAUCAAAAAAAAUAAUCCCAUCACAAAAGAAAAAGAAAAGGGUAACUAGGAAAAAGUUUGAUGACUACAUUGAGAUUACAAGUGACGACGAUAUGCUGUUGAACAAUAUUUUAUUGCAAAUUGAGAUUACAAGUGACGACGAUAUGCCGUUGAACAA